rnacentral:tRNA from 1 species
GGGGAUUUAGCUCAGUGGUAGAGUUCUUGCCUAGCAAGCACAAAGCCCUGGGUUCGGUCCCCAGCUCCA